rnacentral:rRNA from 1 species
GACGAACGCUGGCGGUGUGCUUAACACAUGCAAGUCGAACGGUAAGGCCCUUUCGGGGGUACACGAGUGGCGAACGGGUGAGUAACACGUGAGUAACCUGCCCUCAUCUCUGGGAUAACAGUCGGAAACGGUUGCUAAUACUGGAUAUGAGCUUGCAAGGCAUCUUGUGGGUUGGAAAGAUUUUUUUGGUUGGGGAUGGACUCGCGGCCUAUCAGCUUGUUGGUGAGGUAGUGGCUCACCAGGGCUUCGACGGGUAGCCGGCCUGAGAGGGCGACCGGCCACAUUGGGACUGAGAUACGGCCCAAACUCCUACGGGAGGCAGCAGUGGGGAAUACUGCACAAUGGACGGAAGUCUGAUGCAGCAACGCCGCGUGCGGGAUGACGGCCUUCGGGUUGUAAACCGCUUUCAAUUGUGACGAAGCUUUUUGUGACGGUAGCAGUAGAAGAAGCACCGGCUAACUACGUG